rnacentral:rRNA from 1 species
CCUACGGGAGGCAGCAGUAAGGAAUAUUGGUCAAUGGACGAAAGUCUGAACCAGCCAUGCCGCGUGAAGGAUGAAGGCCCUCUGGGUUGUAAACUUCUUUUAUAGGGGACGAAAAAAGGGAAUUCUUUCCCACUUGACGGUACCCUAGGAAUAAGCACCGGCUAACUCCGUGCCAGCAGCCGCGGUAAUACGGAGGGUGCAAGCGUUAUCCGGAUUUACUGGGUUUAAAGGGUGCGUAGGUGGGCAGUUAAGUCAGUGGUGAAAUCUCCGAGCUUAACUCGGAAACUGCCAUUGAUACUAUCUGUCUUGAAUAUCCUGGAGGUGAGCGGAAUAUGUCAUGUAGCGGUGAAAUGCUUAGAUAUGACAUAGAACACCAAUUGCGAAGGCAGCUCACUACGGGAUUAUUGACACUGAGGCACGAAAGCGUGGGGAUCAAACAGGAUUAGAUACCCUGGUAGUCCACGCCCUAAACUAUGGAUACUCGACAUCAGCGAUACACUGUUGGUGUCUGAGCGAAAGCAUUAAGUAUCCCACCUGGAAGUACGAUCGCAAGAUUGAAACUCAAAUGAUAGAGCGNGAGAGAGCGACGACGACGACGAGGGAGGAGG